GAUGAACGCUGGCGGCGUGCCUAAUACAUGCAAGUCGAGCGAACAGACGAGGAGCUUGCUCCUCUGACGUUAGCGGCGGACGGGUGAGUAACACGUGGAUAACCUACCUAUAAGACUGGGAUAACUUCGGGAAACCGGAGCUAAUACCGGAUAAUAUAUUGAACCGCAUGGUUCAAUAGUGAAAGGCGGUUUUGCUGUCACUUAUAGAUGGAUCCGCGCCGCAUUAGCUAGUUGGUAAGGUAACGGCUUACCAAGGCAACGAUGCGUAGCCGACCUGAGAGGGUGAUCGGCCACACUGGAACUGAGACACGGUCCAGACUCCUACGGGAGGCAGCAGUAGGGAAUCUUCCGCAAUGGGCGAAAGCCUGACGGAGCAACGCCGCGUGAGUGAUGAAGGUCUUCGGAUCGUAAAACUCUGUUAUUAGGGAAGAACAAAUGUGUAAGUAACUAUGCACGUCUUGACGGUACCUAAUCAGAAAGCCACGGCUAACUACAUG
rnacentral:rRNA from 1 species